UACUAAUACCGCAUAAGCCCACGGUGCCGCAUGGCACAGAGGGAAAAGGAGCAAUCCGCUUUGAGAUGGCCUCGCGUCCGAUUAGCUAGUUGGUGAGGUAACGGCCCACCAAGGCGACGAUCGGUAGCCGGACUGAGAGGUUGAACGGCCACAUUGGGACUGAGACACGGCCCAGACUCCUACGGGAGGCAGCAGUGGGGAAUAUUGCACAAUGGGGGAAACCCUGAUGCAGCGACGCCGCGUGGAGGAAGAAGGUCUUCGGAUUGUAAACUCCUGUUGUUGAAGAAGAUAAUGACGGUACUCAACAAGGAAGUGACGGCUAACUACGUGCCAGCAGCCGCGGUAAAACGUAGGUCACAAGCGUUGUCCGGAAUUACUGGGUGUAAAGGGAGCGCAGGCGGGAAGACAAGUUGGAAGUGAAAUCCAUGGGCUCAACCCAUGAACUGCUUUCAAAACUGUUUUUCUUGAGUAGUGCAGAGGUAGGCGGAAUUCCCGGUGUAGCGGUGGAAUGCGUAGAUAUCGGGAGGAACACCAGUGGCGAAGGCGGCCUACUGGGCACCAACUGACGCUGAGGCUCGAAAGUGUGGGUAGCAAACAGGAUUAGAUACCCUGGUAGUCCACACUGUAAACGAUGAUUACUAGGUGUUGGAGGAUUGACCCCUUCAGUGCCGCAGUUAACACAAUAAGUAAUCCACCUGGGGAGUACGACCGCAAGGUUGAAACUCAAAGGAAUUGACGGGGGCCCGCACAAGCAGUGGAGUAUGUGGUUUAAUUCGACGCAACGCGAAGAACCUUACCAAGUCUUGACAUCCUGCGACGCACAUAGAAAUAUGUGUUUCCUUCGGGACGCAGAGACAGGUGGUGCAUGGUUGUCGUCAGCUCGUGUCGUGAGAUGUUGGGUUAAGUCCCGCAACGAGCGCAACCCUUAUGGUCAGUUACUACGCAAGAGGACUCUGGCCAGACUGCCGUUGACAAAACGGAGGAAGGUGGGGAUGACGUCAAAUCAUCAUGCCCUUUAUGACUUGGGCUACACACGUACUACAAUGGCGUUAAACAAAGAGAAGCAAGACCGCGAGGUGGAGCAAAACUCAGAAACAACGUCCCAGUUCGGACUGCAGGCUGCAACUCGCCUGCACGAAGUCGGAAUUGCUAGUAAUCGCAGAUCAGCAUGCUGCGGUGAAUACGUUCCCGGGCCUUGUACACACCGCCCGUCACACCAUGAGAGCCGGGGGGACCCGAAGUCGGUAGUCUAACCGCAAGGAGGACGCCGCCGAAGGUAAAACUGGUGAUUGGGGUGAAGUCGUAACAAGGUA
rnacentral:rRNA from 1 species